rnacentral:tRNA from 1 species
CGGAGUGUAGUUCAGAUGGCUAGAACGUCAGGCUGGGGGUCUGAAGGUCGCCGGUUCAAGUCCGGCCACUCCGA